AGAGUUUGAUCCUGGCUCAGGAUGAACGCUGGCGGCGUGCUUAACACAUGCAAGUCGAACGAUUAACCCGCCCUCGGGCGGUUAUAGAGUGGCGAACGGGUGAGUAACACGUGACCAACCUGCCCUGGAGUGGGGGACAACAGUUGGAAACGACUGCUAAUACCGCAUAAGCCCACGGCCCGGCAUCGGGCUGAGGGAAAAGGAUUUAUUCGCUUCAGGAUGGACUCGCGUCCAAUUAGCUAGUUGGUGAGGUAACGGCCCACCAAGGCGACGAUUGGUAGCCGGACUGAGAGGUUGAACGGCCACAUUGGGACUGAGACACGGCCCAGACUCCUACGGGAGGCAGCAGUGGGGGAUAUUGCACAAUGGGGGAAACCCUGAUGCAGCGACGCCGCGUGGAGGAAGAAGGUUUUCGGAUUGUAAACUCCUGUCGUUAGGGACGAUAAUGACGGUACCUAACAAGAAAGCACCGGCUAACUACGUGCCAGCAGCCGCGGUAAAACGUAGGGUGCAAGCGUUGUCCGGAAUUACUGGGUGUAAAGGGAGCGCAGGCGGACCGGCAAGUUGGAAGUGAAAACUAUGGGCUCAACCCAUAAAUUGCUUUCAAAACUGCUGGCCUUGAGUAGUGCAGAGGUAGGUGGAAUUCCCGGUGUAGCGGUGGAAUGCGUAGAUAUCGGGAGGAACACCAGUGGCGAAGGCGACCUACUGGGCACCAACUGACGCUGAGGCUCGAAAGCAUGGGUAGCAAACAGGGAUUAGAUACCCUGGUAGUCCAUGCCGUAAACGAUGAUUACUAGGUGUUGGAGGAUUGACCCCUUCAGUGCCGCAGUUAACACAAUAAGUAAUCCACCUGGGGAGUACGACCGCAAGGUUGAAACUCAAAGGAAUUGACGGGGGCCCGCACAAGCAGUGGAGUAUGUGGUUUAAUUCGAAGCAACGCGAAGAACCUUACCAGGUCUUGACAUCCGAUGCAUAGCGCAGAGAUGCGUGAAGUCCUUCGGGACAUCGAGACAGGUGGUGCAUGGUUGUCGUCAGCUCGUGUCGUGAGAUGUUGGGUUAAGUCCCGCAACGAGCGCAACCCUUAUUGCCAGUUACUACGAAAGAGGACUCUGGCGAGACUGCCGUUGACAAAACGGAGGAAGGUGGGGAUGACGUCAAAUCAUCAUGCCCUUUAUGACCUGGGCUACACACGUACUACAAUGGCGUUUAACAAAGAGAAGCAAGACCGCGAGGUGGAGCAAAACUCAAAAACAACGUCUCAGUUCAGAUUGCAGGCUGCAACUCGCCUGCAUGAAGUCGGAAUUGCUAGUAAUCGCGGAUCAGCAUGCCGCGGUGAAUACGUUCCCGGGCCUUGCACACACCGCCCGUCA
rnacentral:rRNA from 1 species